AGGGAGCCUCACAGCCUGAGCAGCAGCUAGGAGCUCAUACUGGUUUCCAGGAGCAGAGGCUGAGAGGAAGGGGUACAGAAGCAGAGGAGAGGGGCUUCCAGGUGCUCUGUAAGCACCCACUGUCCUUGGAUUCCUGGCUCGGAGAACAGCUAAGAUUUGAGAAGUCCAGGAGCCACCAUCCCAGUGCUAGGUGACACAGACUCACCUCUCUUCCUGAUCACACCACUCUUCCGGAAGCUCCAGAGCCUCAGAAUGGUGGCAGAAGCUGGUGGCAAAGACACCAGUGCCAUGUGAUGAAAGAUGUCCCUUCUGUCUCCUGGCUCCACCCUCCCAUACUGGAAACUGAGCCCAGGGCACUCUACCAUUAAAGCUAUUCAUUU
rnacentral:lncRNA from 1 species